CAUAACGUGCGCCUCAUCUUUUUUAAAGGCUUAAUUUUUGUGUCACCAAGACAAAGUUUGUCACGAUGGUGCCUUGAAAACAAGCUGAAAACCACAUGGGAAAUCCUAGAAUCAGCUGGUUCCUUCCAGUUCUGUCUGAAAUAGGCAAAGGAAUAGAAAGGGCUAAUGGAGUUGAGCAUAAGCGCACGACUUUUAAACAAUAACAUAUCACUGCAUAAGAAGCAUUCAUACAAAAAUGAAGCCAAAAAAUUGGUACCUGUCAGGGG